UACGUAGGGGGCUAGCGUUGUCCGGAAUCAUUGGGCGUAAAGAGCGUGUAGGCGGCCCGGUAAGUCCGCUGUAAAAGUCAAAGGCUCAACCUUUGAAUGUCAGUGGAUACUGCCGGGCUAGAGUCCGGAAGAGGCGAGUGGAACUCCUGGUGUGGCGGUGGAAUGCGCAGAUUUCAGGAAGAACACCAACGGCGAAGGCAGCUCGCUGGGACGGUACUGACGCUGAGACGCGAAAGCGUGGGGAGCGAACAGG
rnacentral:rRNA from 1 species